CUCUCUUUUUAAAAGGGCAUCACUCAGAAAAAUCCAAGCAAAGCAUGGUGACUCUGAGGAGGCCAGGGAUCCAGGCUCACUUACCAGGAUCAAGAUGCUUUUGGAGAGCUGGAUACUCCUAGACUGUGGUCAAUUGGCUUUAGAUGGAGGAAUUGUGUGAGUGUGAUUGGAGUUGGAUUACCAUGAGACCAAAUGCUGUGAAGCAAAUAGAGAGGAAGGUCCAGGAGGCAAGAGAAGUCAAGAGGAUAUUAAGGAGGUGAGGACUACAUAGUAAAGACAUUUCUGGAAAGAUCUGAAAUCCUGACAUUGACCCGUCAUGGCCACUGGAUGUCACUAAGACCAAUAAUAUGGAUGUGAGCCAAAAUGUUCAUGAAAGAUUACAUACUAGUAUUUCAUUUUAUUUCAGAUUUAUUCUCCACACCAGAAAAUUCAAAAUCUUACAAGAUACAAUUGAUUUAUAAGGAGCAGAGACAGGAAAAAUAGACAUAUAUCACAAUGAUGGUAAAAAAUAAAAUGGUAAUAGAAAAAGGAAGACAUGGAUUAUAACAAAUUUCAGCAUGACUCCAAUAGCUAAGUUUACUGUAGUAGGCACCCAUUUGUCUUAAUUAAUGGAGCUAAAACUAACUGGAAUCCAAGUUGUUAUGCUUAAUGCAGAAUCCAAACUUAAAAUGCGCCUUAUAUCAAUUAUUAGUUCUUAUCUUAUUUUCUUAAACAGGGUUAAGCGCUUUUCAGUUUCUGUCUGUAAUGGGUUGAAUUCAUAUGGUGAUGCCCUAACUCCUUGCGCUUAAGAAUGUGAUUUUAUGUGUAGACAGGGUCUUUACAGAGGUCAGGUUAAAAUAAGGUCAUGAGUGUAGACUUUAAUCCAAUAUGACUGGUGUUUUCAUAAAAAGAGAAAUUUGGACACAGAGAUAUACAUUGAAGGGAGACCUGAUGAGGAGAAGGAGGAGAAAAUGACUAUGUGUAAACCAACAAGCCAAGCCUGGAAUGGAUGCUGCCCUCACAGCCUUCAGAAGAAACCAUGUAAUUCCCCUCACUACCUUGUUCAGUAGUUAUGGUUUCCUCCUUUAUUCAGGUAAGGUUUACAGAUAAGUGAAUUAUAAAAGGAAGACUUUAUCUAAAUUCAAAACCUAUACUCUUUUCAUAACCACAAUGUAUAACUCUUUUUCUCUACUAUUAGACUUAAAAUAAACAUCUACAUUUUUAUAAAUAUGUAACAUUAACUUUAAUUAUACUGCUGUUACAAAAACUUUUUUCUUGCAUUUCUAAUUUUAAUAGCAAUGUAAAUUUUAAGCAAUAAUUCUAAACACAUUUAAGUCAUAAUCCAAACAUAUAUAUUAUUGUUCCAAAUAAAAUUUCAAAUAUAUUAUGUAGAAGAUAUUUUCUACGUGUUUGUAACAGCAAUAAUUUGGACUAAUAGAAUUUCAAUAAGCUUGAUGUGGUGGCUCAUGCUAUAAUCUCAGUGAGCUGGGAGGCUAAAAGGUGAGGAUUGCUUGAGGCCAGGAAUUCAGAACAGAUGGGGUAUGUGACAAGACCCUGUUCAUACAAAAAUACAAAAAUUAACUGGAUGUGGUGACACACACCUGUAGUCCUAGCUACUCAGGAGGCUGAGGUGGGAGGAUGGCUUGGGCCCAGGAGUUUGAGGUUACAGCGAACCAUGAUUGUGCCACCGUACUCCAGCCUGGAAGAAAGAGACCCUGUGUCAAUCAAUCAAUCAAUCCAUAAAAUUGGGAAAAUGAUGCAAUAUUUUUAAAAAUCAAGCACACAGCAAUGAGAAGGUUAGUUGAUGAUAGAAGUUGCUAGUAUGCCAAGACCAGCUCAGUCGUGGAGACCCUAACCCAGUGGCACUAGAGGAAUUAAAGACACACACACAGAAAUAUAGAGGUAUGGAGUAGGAAAUCAGGGGUUUAAGCCUUCAGAACUGAGAGCCUCAAACAGAGAUUUACCUGCAUAUUUAUUGACAGCAAGCCAGUGAUAAGCAUUGUUUCUAUAGAUUAUCAAUUAACUAAAAGUAUUCCUUACAGGAAACAAAGGGAUGGGCCGAAAUAAAGGGACGGGCUCUGGCUAGUUAUCUGCAUCAGGAGCAUGUCCUUAAGGCACAGAUUGCUUAUGCUAUUGUUUGUGGUUUAGGAACGCCUUAAGUGGUUUUCCGCCCUGGGUGGGCCAGGUAUUCCUUGCCCUCAUUCUGGUAAACCCACAACCUUCCAGCAUGGGCAUCAUGGCCAUCACGAGCAUGUCGCAGUGCCACAGAGAUUUUGUUUAUGGCCAGUUGGGGGCCAGUUUAUGGCCAGAUUUGGGGGCCUGUUCCCAACCCUAGUAUAAUAUAGUAUUUUAUUCUUUAAGGAUGUCAGAUUCACAUCUUAGAGUGGGAAAAAAUAAAAUGAUGCCUAGGAAGUGAAUUGUAUGCCACCAUAGGAUACACAAAUGUGACCAUUACUAUUUCUGAUAUAAUAGAUUAAAAACCUUCUCUAUAAGUUAUUAACAAUAAGACAUAAAUAUUCUUGUGUCUCUGGGCUUCCAUUAAAAAACAAAACAAAAUAAUGAUUCUAAUGACCAGAAUUAUACUUACUAGAAAAAGAUUGAUAUGAUAUUGCAGGAAAUGCAAACAGUUCUGCCUUUGCAAUUUUACUGCUUACUCUGCCACCUGUUACUAACUCUGAUGCCAGCCAACUAAGCUUAUGCCAAUGCUCAAUACACAUCUCAGACUUUUCUUGCAAUGACAACAAAUUUGAAAGCAUCUGUGUGCUUUUUUUUUUUUAAAAGUAACAUUUUGGUCUUAAAGGAAGAUUUAGCAAAGGCUUGAAAUCAUAAGUCAACAUGGUCAUUUAUGUAUGUCUUUGCAUUUAUAUGCGGUUUUUGAUAAAAGUUAAACAACCUAAAUGGAACACAGAUAAUUUUGCUUAGAAAUUCUUAAAAUUGUUUUCACUGAUAAGAACACCUGAGGUUUUCUGAUCUGCAAGGUUAUCUUCUGUCUUAUGUUAAUCUGAUAUUGUUGGUUUUUAACAAGUUUGUCUCCUAUUUACUGUAAUUGGUAGAUGAUAAUUACUGACACCUUUCUACUUUUGCGAUUUUUUAAUAAAAGUAAAUACAAAUGAAAUCCGUAAAACUUUGCUCAGAUCCAC
rnacentral:lncRNA from 10 species